GCUCUUGUGGCGCAACUGGUUAGCGCGUUCGGCUGUUAACCGAAAGGUUGGUGGUUCGAAUCCACCCAGGAGCG
rfam:Ramazzottius varieornatus DNA, contig: Scaffold009, strain: YOKOZTNA-1.